rnacentral:sRNA from 1 species
CAAGUGCUACCUCCUGGAGCUUCUCUUGGAAAUGGGCUCACACCAGAGGCAGCAAGAGACCUUGGCCUUCUCCCUGGGAUUGCGGUCGCAGCUUCACUCAUUGAUGCCCAUGCAGGAGGACUAGGAGUGAUUGGGGCAGAUGUGAGAGGGCACGGCCUCGUCUGUGAGGGGCAGCCAGUGACGUCACGGCUGGCUGUCAUCUGUGGAACGUCUUCUUGUCACAUGGGGAUCAGCAAAGACCCGAUUUUUGUACCAGGCGUCUGGGGGCCUUAUUUCUCAGCCAUGGUACCUGGGUUCUGGCUGAAUGAAGGUGGUCAGAGCGUUACUGGAAAAUUGAUAGACCACAUGGUACAAGGCCAUGCUGCUUUUCCAGAACUACAAGUAAAGGCCACAGCCAGGUCACCGGAUUGAAACUGUCUCAGGACCUCGAUGAUCUUGCCAUUCUCUACCUGGCCACAGUUCAAGCCAUUGCUGUAAGAUACUGUAAUGCCAUUUUUAAAGAGACUUAGAGCCAUCAGUAUACUCUAGGCCACUGGCUCCCCAAGAUACAGCACAUGCUUUUGUGACAGAGAUUCUUAAUUAAAAGAUUGUUUGCAAAAAAGA